ACGAACGCUGGCGGCCUGCUUAACACAUGCAAGUCGAACGGAAAGGCCCUGCUUUUGUGGGGUGCUCGAGUGGCGAACGGGUGAGUAACACGUGAGUAACCUGCCCUUGACUUUGGGAUAACUUCAGGAAACUGGGGCUAAUACCGGAUAGGAGCUCCUGCUGCAUGGUGGGGGUUGGAAAGUUUCGGCGGUUGGGGAUGGACUCGCGGCUUAUCAGCUUGUUGGUGGGGUAGUGGCUUACCAAGGCUUUGACGGGUAGCCGGCCUGAGAGGGUGACCGGCCACAUUGGGACUGAGAUACGGCCCAGACUCCUACGGGAGGCAGCAGUGGGGAAUAUUGCACAAUGGGCGGAAGCCUGAUGCAGCAACGCCGCGUGCGGGAUGACGGCCUUCGGGUUGUAAACCGCUUUCGCCUGUGACGAAGCGUGAGUGACGGUAAUGGGUAAAGAAGCACCGGCUAACUACGUG
rnacentral:rRNA from 1 species